rnacentral:rRNA from 1 species
UACGGAGGGUGCAAGCGUUGUCCGGAAUUAUUGGGUUUAAAGGGUACGUAGGCGGCCUGAUAAGUCAGAGGUGAAAUCCCACAGCUUAACUGUGGAACUGCCUUUGAUACUGUCAGGCUUGAGUAUGGUAAAGGUAGGCGGAAUUUAUGAUGUAGCGGUGAAAUGCAUAGAUAUCAUAAAGAACACCAAUUGCGAAGGCAGCUUACUAGGCCAUAACUGACGCUGAGGUACGAAAGUGUGGGGAGCGAAC